rnacentral:rRNA from 1 species
CUACGGGCCGCACCAGUGAGGAAUAUUGCACAAUGGAGGAAACUCUGAUGCAGCCAUGCCGCGUGAGUGAAGAAGGCCUUAGGGUUGUAAAGCUCUUUCAAUUGUGAAGAUUAUGACGGUAGCAAUAGAAGAAGCCCCGGCUAAAUUCGUGCCAGCAGCCGCGGUAAUACGAAUGGGGCAAGCGUUGUUCGGAAUCACUGGGCUUAAAGCGUGCGCAGGCGGACUUGAAAGUCAGAAGUGAAAUCCCGGGGCUCAACCCCGGAACUGCUUUUGAAACUCCAAGUCUAGAAUUCAGUAGAGGUUAGGAGAAUUCCGAGUGUAGAGGUGAAAUUCGCAGAUAUUCGGAGGAAUACCAGUGGCGUAGGCGCCUAACUGGACUGAUAUUGACGCUCAUGUACGAAAGCGUGGGGAGCAAACAGGAUUAGAUACCCGCUAGUC